GCAUAUCAAUAAGCGGAGGAAAAGAAACCAACAGGGAUUGCCCUAGUAACGGCGAAGUGAAGCGGCAACAGCUCCAAAUUUGAAAUCUGGCCUUCGGGUCCGAGUUUGUAAUUUGCAGAGGAUGCUUUUGGCGCGGUGCCUUCCGAGUUCCCUGGAACGGGACGCCCUUAGAGGGUGAGAGCCCCGUACGGUUGGACACCAAGCCUCUGUAAAGCUCCUUCGACGAGUCGAGUAGUUUGGGAAUGCUGCUCUAAAUGGGAGGUAAAUUUCUUCUAAAGCUAAAUAUUGGCCAGAGACCGAUAGCGCACAAGUAGAGUGAUCGAAAAGAUGAAAAGCACUUUGAAAAGAGGGUUAAAUAGCACGUGAAAUUGUUGAAAGGGAAGCGUUUGCGACCAGACCUCUUCAUGGCGGAUCAUCCGGUGUUCUCACCGGUGCACUUCGCCACGUCGAGGCCAGCAUCGGUUUCUGUAGGGGGAUAAAAGCUCUGGGAACGUAGCUCCUCCGGGAGUGUUAUAGCCCUCUGCAUAAUACCUUUACGGGGACCGAGGACCGCGCUUUAUUGCAAGGAUGCUGGCGUAAUGGUCGUCAACGACCCGUCUUGAAACACGGACCAAGGAGUCGAACAUUUAUGCGAGUGUUUGGGUGUUAAAACCCUCACGCGUAAUGAAGGUGAACGCAGGUGAGAGCCCUUACGGGUGCAUCAUCGACCGAUCCUGAUGUCUUCGGAUGGAUUUGAGUAAGAGCAUAGCUGUUCGGACCCGAAAGAUGGUGAACUAUGCGUGGAUAGGGUGAAGCCAGAGGAAACUCUGGUGGAGGCUCGCAGCGGUUCUGACGUGCAAAUCGAUCGUCAAAUCUGCGCAUGGGGGCGAAAGACUUAUCGAACCAUCUAGUAGCUGGUACGC
rnacentral:rRNA from 1 species